rnacentral:misc_RNA from 1 species
UAAUAAGUGUUUUAUGGCACUUUUUAAAUCCAUAUCCACCUUGUGUGCAAUGUCAGUCGAUCUUCUUCAUGGAGAUCGACCAAACAUCAACCUUUAUCUUUUAACUCUUUGUCUGAAAAAUAUUAUGAAUAAACAACUUCAAAAUA